rnacentral:rRNA from 1 species
GACGAACGCUGGCGGCGUGCUUAACACAUGCAAGUCGAGCGAUGAAGCACCUUCGGGUGUGAAUUAGCGGCGAACGGGUGAGGAACACGUGAGAAAUCUGCCUUCAACACUGGGAUAACUCCGGGAAACCGGGGCUAAUACCGGAUAUGAAACCUGCGGGCAUCCGCGGGUUUGGAAAGUUUUUCGGUUGAAGAUGAUCUCGCGGCCUAUCAGCUUGUUGGUGAGGUAAUGGCUCACCAAGGCGACGACGGGUAGCCGGCCUGAGAGGGCGACCGGCCACACUGGAACUGAGGCACGGCCCAGACUCCUACGGGAGGCAGCAGUGGGGAAUAUUGGGCAAUGGAGGAAACUCUGACCCAGCGACGCCGCGUGCGGGAUGAAGGCCUUCGGGUUGUAAACCGCUUUCAGCAGGGAAGAAGCGAAAGUGACGGUACCUGCAGAAGAAGCACCGGCUAACUAUGUGCCAGCCGCCGCCGUAA